GUAGAUACCCGGCAACCCCAAAAUUUGACAGGAACAACACCAUUGACGUUUUCAAUAUUUUCCAAUAGAUCUGUCAAACGUACCAUGCAUAUUUUAUAGUAAGUACUUAAAUAAUGUUGUGUACAGGUUUUCUGUACACAACAUUACCAAAAACAUCGCACAAGGCUUAACAAAAAACAUCACUGAAUUUGUUCUUGACCUGAUAUUGGCUGUAACUCAAGAAACAUACUGCCAUAAUAAUGUGCCUACAACUUUUUCGCAUGACUAUCCCUUACUUGCUGUGUCUUCCCUGUUUUAUUUACCUAUGUAACCGUUGUGGAGUCCCUUGCUACCACUGUCAAGACUUCUGGGAUAUUGAUAGUAUGAGUGAUAUAAGAGAUCUGUAAUUCUUCUUCUUCCUAGCGUUUACAAUGGCUUUUUGCCGCGGGCAUGGAAGCCUGGGGAACAUUAUGAACAACAGCAUGUGAUUAUACUACUUCUGGCGCAGCGACCCAAAGUGUGUCUUGGCCUCCAACACGACUGCUCGCCACUGAUCCACGUCCACUCCACCCAUCGAUACUUAGGCCGACGGGCUGGGCGUGCUGUCGGUUUUCCCUCAAAAGCUUUUUUCACCGCCUGAUCGCCUUCCAUUCGUUCUAGAUGGCCGAGCCACGGAAGCCCUUACACCUAUCUUGAUCUAUGAUUAUACUGUUGCGAAAAAACAGUAAAUAGUCAAAUGGAUACAAUAUAUGCAAGUUAUGCAAAUUUCAGUGAGUAACAACGCAAAGAUGGGAGUAUUGUUCGACUACGUAGUAUGAACUUAAAUGAAAAGGAAAAGAUGUGACGAUGGGCGAAAUGAGAAAUCCACCCUAUACAAUGUCAUUACGUGUUUAUCGACCGAGCGAAAUAACGUCUUAGAGUCAACUACGAGUGCACUUCUCAUCUUCUCAUGUUUCUCAUGUGUUUAACAGAAUAAGACAAAAAAAUAAUAAUUGUGACUUGUAACGCGUUUAUAAAUAACGCUAGUAGACUUUACACAUUUGACAUAUUCAAUAGAUCUAAACUUAAGCUUAUCUUAAGCUACCUCAUAUACUUACUUCACUCUUUGGCUUAAGCUAAUAAUUGUAAUAUUUUAGUCGCCCUAAUCUGGCCAAAUUUUCUAGCGUAUGAAUAGAAAAUUUCACUGAUACUCUAUGGUAACUGUCACCAUUGUUGACGUUUUCAAUGUUUUCAUACAGAUCUUUCAAAAGACAAUCAUGGUGUGAAUAUGGUGUGAUAAUCUGAUAAUACAGAAAAACAACGAAUGGUAAUAUUGUGAACAAAACACAGCAUUACCAUCAAUACGUACAACAUAAGAACUGUUGUUGAAACGCACAGAAAUGGUUGUUGAAAUGAAACUUUUGUAGAAACAUUGAUUGCAAAUUGUCGCUCAACACGAACCGGAUGUGACUAAAUAUGUACAUAUAUUUUUGUUAUUGAACCGAAAAAGCAUACCUAGGUACCACAUCAACACACCAUCACUCAUCAUCAGGCGAUCCGUCUGCUCGUUUGUCUGGUAUAUCAUUAAAAAAAAUCAGAACUCUUGUUGAACUGAAAAUGUUGUUAAAAUAAAACUUUUGUACAAACAUUGCAAAUUGUUAUUCAACUGAAACAGACCGGGUGUAACUCCUACCUUUUUGUUAUUAAACUGAUACGUUUGUUGUUGAACUGAAACUAACCUACUGCAACUGAGUACCUAAUUAUCUGAUGGUGAACUAAAUUGAACCGACUGUAACUAACUAAUGAAAUAGUGUUGUAUGUCGCAGAUAAUGCCAGUGUGCGGGAUUAUUUGGUGUCUCCUUCCAUAUGUAUUGGGCUGCCCCUUUUGGAUAUGGCUUUGUAACACGUUUAAUGUAGACUGCCGGGACUGCCAAGAUUUUUGGGACGUCGAGAGUUGCACAGAUUGGUGUACUUACCGACAAAAAAUAUGGUGAAAUAAAAUUACUGUUAUUCAACUAAA